CCUACGGGGGGCAGCAGUGAGGAAUAUUGGUCAAUGGGCUUACGCCUGAACCAGCCAAGUCGCGUGAGGGAAGACUGCCCUAUGGGUUGUAAACCUCUUUUGUCAGGGAGCAACGCCGGCUACGUGUAGCCGGACGGAGAGGACCUGAAGAAAAAGCAGCGGCGAACUCGGUGCCUGCAGCCGCGGUAAUAGGGAGGAUGCGAGCGUGAGCCGGAUUGAUUGGGUUGAAAGGGUGCGUAGGCGGAAUGCCAAGUCAGCGGUAAAAUCGCGGGGCUCAACCUCGCUCCGCCGUUGAAACUGGCGUUCUUGAGUGGGCGUGAAGUAUGCGGAAUGCGUGUUGUAGCGGUGAAAUGCAUAGCUAUCACGCAGAACUCCGAUUGCGAAGGCAGCAUACCGGCGCCCAACUGACGCUGAAGCACGAAAGCGUGGGUAUCGAACAGGAUUAGAUACCCGUGUAGUC
rnacentral:rRNA from 1 species